GACAGAGGGUGCAAACGUUGCUCGGAAUUACUGGGCGUAAAGCGCGUGUAGGCGGUUUCGCAAGUCAGGUGUGAAAGCCCGGGGCUCAACCCCGGAAGUGCACUUGAUACUACGGAGCUUGAGUACUGAAGAGGAGAGCGGAAUUCCCGGUGUAGAGGUGAAAUUCGUAGAUAUCGGGAGGAACACCAGUGGCGAAGGCGGCUCUCUGGGCAGAUACUGACGCUGAGACGCGAAAGCAUGGGGAGCGAACAGG
rnacentral:rRNA from 1 species